CUUGCAAUUUCCAGCACAAAGAUUUAUAAUUUGUGGGCUGCGAUGCAGUGAUGAUUCUGAACCCACAGCGGAAUAGUCGUUUUGGACUGGGGGGCGGUACCCCACAGCUCCACCAUAUUUAUCUUUAUGGGGCUGACAUAGUUUCGACAGACGCAGUAAAGGCCGAUGGCUGAAUUCGACAUGGUCGUCGUUAAACACUAAACAAAAAACUGAAUGGCGAUAGAAUCGCUGCGAACGACAAUGUUCGCCUUGCAAUGGCUGCUUAAUAUAGCAUUGAUAUAAUUGGCAAUUGUUGAUUAUAUCGUUUUAGUUAUUGCGGGGUCCGCCGGGUACCUGGCACCAGAAAC
rnacentral:tmRNA from 1 species